CAGGCUUAACACAUGCAAGUCGAGGGGCAGCAUGGUCUUAGCUUGCUAAGGCCGAUGGCGACCGGCGCACGGGUGAGUAACACGUAUCCAACCUGCCGUCUACUCUUGGACAGCCUUCUGAAAGGAAGAUUAAUACAAGAUGGCAUCAUGAGUCCGCAUGUUCACAUGAUUAAAGGUAUUCCGGUAGACGAUGGGGAUGCGUUCCAUUAGAUAGUAGGCGGGGUAACGGCCCACCUAGUCUUCGAUGGAUAGGGGUUCUGAGAGGAAGGUCCCCCACAUUGGAACUGAGACACGGUCCAAACUCCUACGGGAGGCAGCAGUGAGGAAUAUUGGUCAAUGGGCGAGAGCCUGAACCAGCCAAGUAGCGUGAAGGAUGACUGCCCUAUGGGUUGUAAACUUCUUUUAUAAAGGAAUAAAGUCGGGUAUGGAUACCCGUUUGCAUGUACUUUAUGAAUAAGGAUCGGCUAACUCCGUGCCAGCAGCCGCGGUAAUACGGAGGAUCCGAGCGUUAUCCGGAUUUAUUGGGUUUAAAGGGAGCGUAGAUGGAUGUUUAAGUCAGUUGUGAAAGUUUGCGGCUCAACCGUAAAAUUGCAGUUGAUACUGGAUAUCUUGAGUGCAGUUGAGGCAGGCGGAAUUCGUGGUGUAGCGGUGAAAUGCUUAGAUAUCACGAAGAACUCCGAUUGCGAAGGCAGCCUGCUAAGCUGCAACUGACAUUGAGGCUCGAAAGUGUGGGUAUCAAACAGGAUUAGAUACCCUGGUAGUCCACACGGUAAACGAUGAAUACUCGCUGUUUGCGAUAUACUGCAAGCGGCCAAGCGAAAGCGUUAAGUAUUCCACCUGGGGAGUACGCCGGCAACGGUGAAACUCAAAGGAAUUGACGGGGGCCCGCACAAGCGGAGGAACAUGUGGUUUAAUUCGAUGAUACGCGAGGAACCUUACCCGGGCUUAAAUUGCAGAUGAAUUACGGUGAAAGCCGUAAGCCGCAAGGCAUCUGUGAAGGUGCUGCAUGGUUGUCGUCAGCUCGUGCCGUGAGGUGUCGGCUUAAGUGUCAUAACGAGCGCAACCCUUGUUGUCAGUUACUAACAGGUUCCGCUGAGGACUCUGACAAGACUGCCAUCGUAAGAUGUGAGGAAGGUGGGGAUGACGUCAAAUCAGCACGGCCCUUACGUCCGGGGCUACACACGUGUUACAAUGGGGGGUACAGAGGGCCGCUACCACGCGAGUGGAUGCCAAUCCCCAAAACCUCUCUCAGUUCGGACUGGAGUCUGCAACCCGACUCCACGAAGCUGGAUUCGCUAGUAAUCGCGCAUCAGCCACGGCGCGGUGAAUACGUUCCCGGGCCUUGUACACACCGCCCGUCAAGCCAUGGGAGCCGGGGGUACCUGAAGUGCGUAACCGCGAGGAGCGCCCUAGGGUAAAACUGGUGACUGGGGCUAA
rnacentral:rRNA from 1 species